rnacentral:rRNA from 1 species
GAUGAACGCUGGCGGCGUGCCUAAUACAUGCAAGUCGAGCGAACAGACGAGGAGCUUGCUCCUCUGACGUUAGCGGCGGACGGGUGAGUAACACGUGGAUAACCUACCUAUAAGACUGGGAUAACUUCGGGAAACCGGAGCUAAUACCGGAUAACAUGUUGAACCGCAUGGUUCAACAGUGAAAGACGGUCUUGCUGUCACUUAUAGAUGGAUCCGCGCCGCAUUAGCUAGUUGGUAAGGUAACGGCUUACCAAGGCAACUAUGCGUAGCCGACCUGAGAGGGUGAUCGGCCACACUGGAACUGAGACACGGUCCAGACUCCUACGGGAGGCAGCAGUAGGGAAUCUUCCGCAAUGGGCGAAAGCCUGACGGAGCAACGCCGCGUGAGUGAAGAAGGUCUUCGGAUCGUAAAACUCUGUUAUUAGGGAAGAACAAAUGUGUAAGUAACUAUGCACGUCUUGACGGUACCUAAUCAGAAAGCCACGGCUAACUACGUG